ensembl:lncRNA
CACACACACAUUGACCUUCCCAUGACCCGACACAGACCGCAGCGACACACAGUUGAAGGCACACCCUUGUGUGGCUACCAGGAACGUGUGUGUGUGUGUGUGUGUGUGUGUGUGUGUGUGUGUGUGUGUGUGCAAGCGCCAAGGAUGAACGAGCUGUGCAGGGACGAAAUCAACUUUAAGCCGUCCCUGGAAUCUCAAUGUUUUGACGUUUAGGACAGAGAGAGUGUGUGUGUGUUGACUUGUAGAACUGUGUGUGUGUGUGUGUGAGAGAGUGUGAGAGUGUGUGUGUGUGUGUGUGUGUCAUGCUGUCUUGGCCCAGACGGGUAAGGGUAGGCUGGGUACAGUCAGCUUGAUGGCAGAGUAAACACUGGCCCUGCAGACACACACACACACACACACUCACACAGAGGCAUGCAUGCGCUAGUGUGUGUUUGGAGUUUGAACUCAGAGGCACAGGGUACAGGAGUCUCCGCAUACAUCAUCUCCAACAUUAAACAUGCCAGCAGGAGCCUACACUCUGUCCCUGAUCAGAGCCCUACACACUGUCCCUGAUCUGACACCACGUCUGCUCUCUGUUAAAUGUGUGUGUGUGAGAGAGAGAGACAGAGAGGGGGAAGUGAGAGUGGGAGGGGUGUGAGAAAUUGAAGAAGUACAAGAAAAGAAAGACUUAUUGAUGAAGAAAAAAAAAAUGCUUUAAAAAAACGAAACAAAAAAAAAACAUGCUAUUUUGUAUGAUUGGUACUGCCAUCUAGGCCUUCAUCUGCCACGCAGUGAUGAUUUGCUCUGCUUUCUGUUGUCUGUAUAUACUGGCAAGGCUUGAUUGACACAUCCAUCAUUCUUAAUGUCUAAUUGCACUAGAAUCAUAUAGAGCUUUGCUGAAGAAGUCUUGAUGUUGACUCAGGUAAUUACUGUAAAAUCCUAAAGGGCAGCUUUAGCAGGAGUGGGCAGGGGGGCAUUCAAAUGUAACCAGAAGAAGGCAAACUUUUAUAUACAUCUAAAACAAACAUAUAUAUCUCUCUCACACACGCACACACACAUUGAACUCCAAGGAGAACCUUCUAAGGGGUUUCCUGUAGGGAUAAGCCCAGCUAUUAGUGAGGUAUUAAAACAGAAUCACUGAUGUCCGUAUAUGCUUUAAAGUAGUGCAUACGGCCUCCUCCAGCCAGUAGAACACACGAUAGGCAGUCAAGAAAGUAUUGCACAGACAGAUCGUGUGUCUCCUCUGUGCUGUGUGGUGUGGAUUCCAGAGAAUCAGUGAUUUUAAAGACUCCAACCAGAUUCAGCCAUAGGGGCUGGCCUGGUAUCUGCAGCAAUAACACAUCGCACCUAUACUUAUAUACACGACAGUCCAUUUACUAAGUGGUAGCGUGUGAGUUUAUAUACAUUGAGGUCCAACAGUUGAAGUGCGAAGAGGCUUGUUUUUCUCUAGUGGAGCAACAUAGUGGAGAAGUGUUGGGUGUGCAGGUGAUCCCGGUAAUGCUGGGGGAAGCAUUUCAGGUUACCUGAUGAGCCUUUGAAUGCUUGAUCUCACCUGUUGUGCAAUUCAGAUACAAGUUGUUUUGUUGCACUCAGCAGGUGCAAGUGACUGUUUGGAAGAGGGUGUUAUGAUUUUGAUGUUCAGUUGACAAGGUUUUAAUUUGGUGCAUCUUGGCUGGUGAGUGUUCAGCUGUGUGUGUGUGUGUGUGUCUCCAGCUCAUAUCAUUUCAGGACAGCCUAGUGGCACAUCCAUCAUACAGUUAAUGUUUGCAUCAUAAGCUACUGUACUCAAUGUCACUUCUAGGAGCUUCUAGUGUAAAUGCACUAUGGCGAGAGUGUUUGGUGCAAGAGAGAGAGAGAGAGAGUGUGUGUGUGUGUGUGUGUAUGGGGGUCGGGGUGGGGUGGAACAGAGACACUCUCCAGCUAUAGAAGUGUGUAUUAUUAACUGUUCUUGUUAAGAAUAUUUAUGCCAUUUUUGAAAUUGUUGUCUAUAUUCCUGAAAAAAAGCAAAAACACAGUGUAAUAUGUAUUUAUUUAUUGAAUUAUACUGCUGACAAGUUUCGAUGCUACUGGGGAAAGGACCCAGCUGAGUAAUUAUUAAUGGCUAAGAACAUUUAGAGAAAUGAAAUGACUGUAGAUGUUUACUCAAAUCAGUAGAGAUGUAAAGAUAUGCAAGCUUUUCAUUUUUUGCAAUGAAUAAUAUUUUACUUUCUUGUAAAUAUUGCACUAGAAUAUAGCCCUAGCAGCUGGGAGAUGUUCAAUAAAAGUGGACCGAUCUUUGUUUGAUGUUCAUG